rnacentral:rRNA from 1 species
UACGGGGGGGGCAAGCGUUGUUCGGAAUUACUGGGCGUAAAGGGUGCGUAGGUGGCCUGACAAGUUAUCAGUGGCAAAUCGAGGCUCAACCUCGUGGAAACUGGUAAUACUGUUCGGCUUGAGUACAGGAGAGGUUAACGGAACUCUAUGUGGAGCGGUAAAAUGCACAGAUAUAUAGAAGAACAUCAAUAAAGGCGAAGGCAGUUAACUAUUCUGUUACUGACGCUGAGGCACGAAAGCGUGGGGAGCAAAACGG